rnacentral:piRNA from 1 species
UUGGGUUUGAAAUGCCUCAUGGUGGCUUCUU